rnacentral:tRNA from 1 species
AUUUAUAUAGUUUAAAAAAAACAUUACAUUUUCACUGUAAAAACAAUUUAUUAAUU